UACGGAGGGUGCAAGCGUUAUCCGGAUUCACUGGGUUUAAAGGGUGCGUAGGUGGGUUGGUAAGUCAGUGGUGAAAUCUCCGUGCUUAACAUGGAAACUGCCAUUGAUACUACUGAUCUUGAAUUUUCAGGAGGUAAGCGGAAUAAUGUCAUGUAGCGGUGAAAUGCUUAGAUAUGAACAUAGAACACCAAUUGCGAAAGGCAGCUUACUACAGGAAUAUUGACACUGAUGCACGAAAGCGUGGGGAUCAAAACAGG
rnacentral:rRNA from 1 species